GCGCUGCCUCUGAGCCCCAGCUGCGCCUGCGCGUGGCGCGGGGGGUUAAACUGCAGCGCCAGAGCACGGGCUUGCGCAUGACUGGGGUCGCCCGUGCCCCACGGGCGGCGCCUUUAACCGUGAGCCACAGGA
ensembl:snoRNA